CCUACCUAUAAAACUGGAAUACCUUCGGGAAACCGAACCUAAUACCGAAUAAUAUUUUAAACCCCAGGGUUCAAAAUUGAAAAACGGCCUUGCUGUCCCUUAUAAAUGGAUCCCCCCUCCAUUACCUAUUUGGUAAGGUAAGGGUUUACCAGGGCAACAAUCCUUACCCAACCUGAAAGGGUGAUCGGCCCCCCUGAAACUAAAACCCGGCCCAAACUCCUACGGAAGGCACCAUUAGGAAAUUUUCCCCAUUGGGCAAAAUCCUGACGAACCAACCCCCCGUGAUUGAUAAAGGUUUUCGAAUCGUAAAACUCUGUUAUUAGGAAAAACCUUUUGUGUAAUUAACUGUCCCCUUCUUGACGGUACCUAACCAAAAACCCCCGGUUAAUUACUUGCCACCACCCCCGUUAUUACGUAGUUGGCAACCCUUAUCCGAAAUUAUUGGCCGUAAGCGCGCGUAGGCGGUUUUUUAGUCUGAUGUGAAAGCCCACGGCUCACCCGUGGAGGGUCAUUGGAAACUGGAAAACUUGAGUGCAGAAGAGAGAGGGGGAAACCCCUGUGUAGCGGGUAAAUGCGCAGAGAUAUGGGGGGACAACCGGUGGCUAAGGCCAUUUUCUCGUCUGU
rnacentral:rRNA from 1 species